GACGAACGCUGGCGGCGUGCUUAACACAUGCCAGUCGAACGAAGAGCGAUGGAAGCUUGCUUCUAUCAAUCUUAGUGGCGAACGGGUGAGUAACGCGUAAUCAACCUGCCCUUCAGAGGGGGACAACAGUUGGAAACGACUGCUAAUACCGCAUACGAUCUAAUCUCGGCAUCGAGGAUAGAUGAAAGGUGGCCUCUACAUGUAAGCUAUCACUGAAGGAGGGGAUUGCGUCUGAUUAGCUAGUUGGAGGGGUAACGGCCCACCGAGGCGAUGAUCAGUAGCCGGUCUGAGAGGAUGAACGGCCACAUUGGGACUGAGACACGGCCCAGACUCCUACGGGAGGCAGCAGUGGGGAAUCUUCCGCAAUGGACGAAAGUCUGACGGAGCAACGCCGCGUGAGCGAUGACGGCCUUCGGGUUGUAAAGCUCUGUUAAUCGGGACGAAAGGCCUUCUUGCGAAUAGUGAGAAGGAUUGACGGUACCGGAAUAGAAAGCCACGGCUAACUACGUG
rnacentral:rRNA from 1 species